rnacentral:piRNA from 1 species
UCUGAUGACGCAUUUAUAAUA